GUGCGAGACCGAUAGCGAACAAGUACCGUGAGGGAAAGAUGAAAAGAACUUUGAAAAGAGAGUUAAAGAGUACCUGAAACUGCUGAAAGGGAACCGAAUCGUUUCCAGUGUCUAUAAUCCGUGGUAUAUUUCAUUGGCGAGUGUGUGCGUGCGUGUGCUGUGGCAGCGGCUUUUUAGGCUGCGCUCGGCGUGUGUGCUGUGUGUGCUUGCUGGUGCCCUGUACUGCGGUGGGACGUCAAGGUCAGUUCGUAUGCUGCGGGAAAUGGCUGCCGAGGAGGUAGGGCUUACGCUUGCGUUUGUCUGUUAUAUCUUGGUGGACGAGUAGUCGCGGUUGGGACUGAGGUGCCUACAACGUGCUUUUGAGUGGGUUUGUGUCUCCGUGUGCGCCGUGUGCGGAUAGCUUGCUAUGCGUGUGUGGUUGUGUGUGGAUUGAUGCGGGCUUUAACUUGUUGCUGUUCGGGACUUUGA
rnacentral:rRNA from 2 species